rnacentral:ncRNA from 1 species
UGUAAGGAUUGCUUUUAUGGAUUUAAAGUUUGAUUAUGGCUUUUGAAGGGUUAAAAUGGUAUUAUUUAAUUUUAAUUUAUGGUGUAGGCAAUGUGAAUUUACCUUGGUAAUUUAUUAUUUGUAAUUUAUUAGUUCCAGAAUAAUCGGCUAUGCUAAUAAAAUUUAAACUUUAUUUUUGUUGUGGCAUGAAAGUGGUUUUUUAGCUUUGAGAGUUUUAGGUAAAAUUGAGACUUUUGUUGGUGUUGGGUUGUGUCAUUAAGGUUUUGGGGGCGAAUUAGAUUAGUACCUAAUUAGUAAAAAAAUUAAAUGUUCAGGAGUAAAGUAGGAUUUAAACUGAAAGAAUAUUGGCAGAUUUUCUAAAUUAUCUUUGGAGGUUGAGUGAUGAUUGAGAACCCUCAUUAACUACUUGGUUUUUUGGCUCAUGUAUGAUCGUUUAUUUUAUGUUUAAGAUAUAGAAUUUUAAAUUUUUUUUUGAAAAAAUAGAUAUAUAUUUGGUGGAUAAUUGAGUUUAAUUUGACCUACAUUAUUGAGGAUUUUGGAUUGUUAAGGUAGUGUUAAUAUGAAAUUGUAAAAGACAGUAAAAAAGUCUUUAUGUCUUUUUGAAGAGUAUUUAGAAAUGGUACAAAUCAUCCAUCAAUUGCCUAUAGGGGAGUAAGUUGUAGUAAAGUAGAUUUAGGGGAACCUGUAUCUAGGAGUU